rnacentral:rRNA from 1 species
AACGAACGCUGGCGGCGUGGAUAAGACAUGCAAGUCGAACGAGAGAAUUGCUAGCUUGCUAAUAAUUCUCUAGUGGCGCACGGGUGAGUAACACGUGAGUAACCUGCCCCCGAGAGCGGGAUAGCCCUGGGAAACUGGGAUUAAUACCGCAUAGUAUCGAAAGAUUAAAGCAGCAAUGCGCUUGGGGAUGGGCUCGCGGCCUAUUAGUUAGUUGGUGAGGUAACGGCUCACCAAGGCGAUGACGGGUAGCCGGUCUGAGAGGAUGUCCGGCCACACUGGAACUGAGACACGGUCCAGACACCUACGGGUGGCAGCAGUCGAGAAUCAUUCACAAUGGGGGAAACCCUGAUGGUGCGACGCCGCGUGGGGGAAUGAAGGUCUUCGGAUUGUAAACCCCUGUCAUGUGGGAGCAAAUUAAAAAGAUAGUACCACAAGAGGAAGAGACGGCUAACUCUGUGCCAGCAGCCGCGGUAAUAUAGAGGUCUCAAGCGUUGUUCGGAAUCACUGGGCGUAAAGCGUGCAUAGGCUGUUUCGUAAGUCGUGUGUGAAAGGCGCGGGCUCAACCCGCGGACGGCACAUGAUACUGCGAGACUAGAGUAAUGGAGGGGGAACCGGAAUUCUCGGUGUAGCAGUGAAAUGCGUAGAUAUCGAGAGGAACACUCGUGGCGAAGGCGGGUUCCUGGACAUUAACUGACGCUGAGGCACGAAGGCCAGGGGAGCGAAAAGGAUAGAUACCCCUGUAGUCCUGGCAGUAAACGGUGCACGCUUGGUGUGCGGGGAAUCGACCCCCUGCGUGCCGGAGCUAACGCGUUAAGCGUGCCGCCUGGGGAGUACGGUCGCAAGAUUAAAACUCAAAGAAAUUGACGGGGACCCGCACAAGCGGUGGAGUAUGUGGCUUAAUUCGAUGCAACGCGAAGAACCUUACCUGGGCUUGACAUGUAAUGAACAACAUGUGAAAGCAUGCGACUCUUCGGAGGCGUUACACAGGUGCUGCAUGGCCGUCGUCAGCUCGUGUCGUGAGAUGUUUGGUUAAGUCCAGCAACGAGCGCAACCCCUGUUGCCAGUUACCAGCACGUGAAGGUGGGGACUCUGGCGAGACUGCCCAGAUCAACUGGGAGGAAGGUGGGGACGACGUCAGGUCAGUAUGGCCCUUAUGCCCAGGGCUGCACACGUACUACAAUGCCCAGUACAGAGGGGGCCGAAGCCGCGAGGCGGAGGAAAUCCUGAAAACUGGGCCCAGUUCGGACUGUAGGCUGCAACCCGCCUACACGAAGCCGGAAUCGCUAGUAAUGGCGCAUCAGCUACGGCGCCGUGAAUACGUUCCCGGGUCUUGCACA